rnacentral:misc_RNA from 1 species
AACGCACGAGACCUGCGGACCUGCGGAAGGAUCAUUAGUGAACGCCCUCACGGGCUUAUAACUAUUCCAAACCUCUGUGGACCGUGCCCUUCGGGGCUAUUUUACAAACAUGGUGUAAUGAACGUCAUAUAUCAUAACAAAACAAAACUUUCAACAACGGAUCUCU